GAAGGAAAUUAGCCUGUUAUCCCUAUGGUAGUUAUUUCUUUUAAUCGCUUCUGCGGAUCAUUAAAUAGGAUUAUAUCCUUAAACUUUAAGGAAGAUUUAUUCUUUUCCUCAGUCGCCCCAACUAAAUUACUUUUGACUUAAGAAAUUUAUUUUAUUAUAGGUUAAAGCUUAUGCAAUAAAACUCAAUAGGGUCUUUUUGUCUUUUUAUAGUAUUUAGGCUUUUUCACCUAAAGAUUAAUUUUUAUUUAUAGAGAAGAGACAGCUUUACUCUCGUAUGUUCCUUCAUUCCAGC
rnacentral:rRNA from 1 species